rnacentral:ribozyme from 1 species
UGCCCAGAAACUCAUAUCCCUACCUCCUAGCGGUACUGGCCGGGGUAUGAGUAACCUUAGGGAAGAUCGGGUAACCAACAACUCUGGAAGGGGGGGG